rnacentral:rRNA from 1 species
AACGAACGCUGGCGGCAUGCCUAACACAUGCAAGUCGAACGAGACCUUCGGGUCUUUUGGCGCACGGGUGCGUAACGCGUGGGAACCUGCCCUUAGGUUCGGAAUAACUCCCCGAAAGGGGUGCUAAUACCGGAUAAUGUCUUCGGACCAAAGAUUUAUCGCCUUUGGAUGGUCCCGCGUUGGAUUAGCUAGUUGGUAGGGUAAAAGCCUACCAAGGCGACGAUCCAUAGCUGGUCUGAGAGGAUGAUCAGCCACACUGGGACUGAGACACGGCCCAGACUCUUACGGGAGGCAGGAGUGGGGAAUAGUGGACAAUGGGCGAAAGCCUGAUCCAGCAAGGACGCGUGAGUGAUGAAGGCAGUAGGGUUGUAAAGCGCUUGUAACCGGGAUGAUAAUGACAGUACCGGGAGAAUAAGCUCCGGCUAACUCCGUG